GGGUGAUGCAUUCAACAUGCGCCACCCCUUGACUGGUGGAGGAAUGACUGUAGCAUUAUCUGAUAUCGUUGUAUUGCGUGAUCUUCUCAAACCUCUUCGUGAUUUGAAUGAUGCAUCUACUCUUUGCAGAUAUCUGGAGUCAUUUUACACCUUGCGUAAGCCUGUGGCCUCCACCAUCAAUACAUUGGCUGGUGCCUUGUAUAAGGUAUUUUGUGCUUCACCUGAUCAAGCUAGGAAGGAGAUGCGUGAAGCAUGCUUUGAUUAUUUGAGCCUCGGUGGAGUAUUCUCAGAAGGACCAGUAUCUUUGCUUUCUGGCUUAAACCCUCGUCCAUUAAGUCUCGUUUGUCAUUUCUUUGCUGUGGCUAUCUUUGGUGUUGGCCGCUUGCUGCUUCCUUUCCCAUCACCGAAACGUAUAUGGAUUGGAGCCCGGCUAAUAUCGAGUGCAUCUGCAAUCAUUUUCCCUAUCAUCAAGGCAGAAGGGGUCAGACAGAUGUUCUUCCCUGCUACUGUUCCCGCAUAUUACA
rnacentral:misc_RNA from 1 species